rnacentral:rRNA from 1 species
UACAGAGGGUGCAAGCGUUAAUCGGAAUUACUGGGCGUAAAGCGCACGUAGGCGGAUUGUUAAGUCGGGGGUGAAAUCCUGGAGCUCAACUCCAGAACUGCCUUCGAUACUGGCGAUCUCGAGUUCGGGAGAGGUGAGUGGAACUGCGAGUGUAGAGGUGAAAUUCGUAGAUAUUCGCAAGAACACCAGUGGCGAAGGCGGCUCACUGGCCCGAUACUGACGCUGAGGUGCGAAAGCGUGGGAGCAAACAGG